ACUCAAAGGAAUUGACGGGGGCCCGCACAAGCGGUGGAGCAUGUGGUUCAAUUCGAAGCAACGCGCAGAACCUUACCAGGGCUUGACAUGGGGAGGCCGUGUCCGGAAACGGGCAUUUCCCGCAAGGGACCUCCCACACAGGUGCUGCAUGGCUGUCGUCAGCUCGUGUCGUGAGAUGUUGGGUUAAGUCCCGCAACGAGCGCAACCCUCGCCUUCAGUUGCCAUCGGUUUCGGCCGGGCACUCUGAAGGAACUGCCGGUGACAAGCCGGAGGAAGGUGGGGAUGACGUCAAGUCCUCAUGGCCCUUAUGCCCGGGGCCACACACGUGCUACAAUGGCGGUGACAGCGGGAUGCCAGGUCGCGAGGCCGAGCCGAUCCCGAAAAGCCGUCUCAGUUCAGAUUGCACUCUGCAACUCGGGUGCAUGAAGGCGGAAUCGCUAGUAAUCGCGGAUCAGCACGCCGCGGUGAAUACGUUCCCGGGCCUUGUACACACCGCCCGU
rnacentral:rRNA from 1 species